rnacentral:rRNA from 1 species
CCUACGGGAGGCUGCAGUGGGGAAUAUUGGACAAUGGGCGAAAGCCUGAUCCAGCCAUGCCGCGUGUGUGAAGAAGGCCUUCGGGUUGUAAAGCACUUUCAGUGGGGAAGAAAGCCUUGGGGCUAAUACCCUCGAGGAAGGACAUCACCCACAGAAGAAGCACCGGCUAAUUCCGUGCCAGCAGCCGCGGUAAUACGGAGGGUGCGAGCGUUAAUCGGAAUUACUGGGCGUAAAGCGCGCGUAGGCGGUCUGAUAAGCCGGUUGUGAAAGCCCCGGGCUCAACCUGGGAACGGCAUCCGGAACUGUCAGGCUAGAGUGCAGGAGAGGAAGGUAGAAUUCCCGGUGUAGCGGUGAAAUGCGUAGAGAUCGGGAGGAAUACCAGUGGCGAAGGCGGCCUUCUGGACUGACACUGACGCUGAGGUGCGAAAGCGUGGGUAGCAAACAGGAUUAGAUACCCGAGUAGUC